rnacentral:rRNA from 1 species
UCGGACGGCAGCAAUCUCGUAGUACGCGUAGUACGGGAACUCCAUACAAAGCACCUGUUGGGGCCACGUUAGUAUCGCGCGUAGCGCUGGGGUCCAGUCCGCCCUCGUGGGCGACUCAAAUUCGUAUAGUUAUUCGCCUCCUUUUCUUUGAAUGGUCCUAAGGGGAUCAUUGCCGCUCGCUUUUAGAGA